AACUAGUCAGCGAUGUUUGUCCUUAACAAGACUUAAGUAGCCUUAUGAUGGAUAUAUCACCGUUCUUCAAAGACCACAUUGAGUCGUUAACCGGGAAACAAACAAACAGCCUUUAUCAAGGCUUCCAGCCUAUUUACAGGCAUCCCACCAGCCUUUUUAAAGAUACCAUCAUUCUUUUUAAAAACUACACAAGUGUUAUUUAAUAUGUACCGUGGAAACAACCAGAGAAUUGGAGCUGGCGCUUCACUUCUCGGGACUCCUCCCACCGGAUACAAGGUGAACAUGGCCCUUUCUCGUGCACAGGAUGAAGUGCACUACCUGAAAAGGAAUGUGAGUGAACUCACUGCUCACACUGAAACUGUGAAAUACAGUUUGACCAACCUGUUAAAAGGCAAAGAUCUUGCCUAUGAGCAGAUGGUUGCCAAGGACAGAAAGAAGUUGUCAGACCUCAUCAGAGAGAACGAGAGUUUGUCUCUGAAGCUCACAGAGACCACCGAACAACUCGUUGUCAAAUAUGCUGAACUCACGGUCCAGCAGCAGGCCAACAACCAACAGUUGAACACAAACUGCUAAAGAGCAAGACAGAGGCUCUGGCUGAGGUUAUCGGGGAAAACAAGAGUUUGUCUCUGAAGCUCUUUAAAUACGCCGAACAACUCUCUGCUGAACUCAAGGUCAACAACGAGACCUGGCAGCAGAAGUAUGACGAUCUGGAGGAAAAGACAUUCAAGGAACUGGAUGACCAACAACAGUCCAUGGAGUCUAAAGUAACAGGGUUACUCUCCACCAACAUUUCUCUUCAAGAGGAGCUGCACAAGCAGCAGUCCAACAACCACCAGUUGGAAGAAGAACACAAACUGCUAAAGAUCAAGACAGAGGCUCUGGAUGAGACUAUCAGGCAGAACGAGGGUUUAUCUCUGAAGCUCACAGAGACAACAAAAAAACUUUCUGUCAAAAGUGCUGAACUCAGGGUCAACAACGAGACCUGGCAGCAGUUGGAAGCAGAACACAAACUGCUGAAGACCCAGAGGGAUUCUCUGGCUGCUUUAAAAAAGAGCCAAGAGGAGACCCACCACGAGACGGUCACGAGCAGUGGUUUCACUGACUUGUGCCUGAUCUCUAAGAUCCAACAAACGGAGAAUACCAUCCCCAAAGAACAUCGGAUCCUUAUCACGAGGAUCCAAGAAUUAGAGGAUGACAAAACAGUCCUUGAAAACAUCUGCCUCGACUUAAAAAAAGAAAUUUUUGGGAGACGGAUGCAAGACCGGCAGACGGAGAUGGACAAAAUGAGGCGCAAGAUGCAGGACAAGGAGACAAAGAAAUAGGAGAGAGAAGAGAGGAAAAAGGAGACCAUCCAGGACGUCAACAUCAACGUGCCUGAGACUGGACACCACCUCCCAUCUCUAUUUUAAUUUGUCAAAGAAAGCAGACCCCUGGAACUCUCUCCAUGUCAUUUCCUUGUCCAUGCCCUGGUCUUUGCAUAGUGAAAAGAUUUUAGUGGGGCAGAAAAUGUACUUCCCUGUAACUCCAGGGAACCCAGUGUGAAUGUGACGACUGUUUGGGCCCUGCUUCAGUUCCGUCUUACAGAACCGACACUUGCGACCAGAGUUUCAGCCUCUCUUGCAGUUUUUCUGGACUGACGUUUAAAGAGGAACUGGUGUUCAACAAUUUGCUGAGGUGCUUUACAUAUUGUACGAUAUGUAGUUUUGCUGUCGGGUGGAGCAUGCUGUUGGGGUUUGUGCAGGAGUUGUGAACUAGAGCAGCGUAGUCCUGGUCCACAAGCUUCAGCAUGUCUUUCUGCUCACGGUGUUUGUUGAGCAGCUGGUCGAUAACUGCCAGCGACGGCGGACGUGAAGUUUCUACAGGAACAAAAGAUGAAGUACAGUAAGUCAUUCUGACCUAUAGAAUCGAAUACUUGUAUAAUAAAUAUAAACUUUCAUUAAAAGCUCAUGAAAGACUGGUAUUUGUAUGUAAAUGUUUAUCCAAUAACACCCUAAAUAUAUUUUCACAUCUUGUAAAAAAAAUGGAAAAGUGACAAAUGUAUUACGCUAUCCAUAAAAAUAAAGUUAGCUAGCGCUGAUGUUGUCAAUCACUAUGUCCGUGUGUGAGAUGUUUACCUGGCUCUCCCCGAGGCCCUGGGGUUGUUCUGGGACUCACAUCUGGUUUCACAGCAGAAUCGGCAGGGGGGCAUGGAGAAAACUGGAACAACCUUGAUGGUGCCAGUGAGGAUGACAGAGGAACCUCCGACUGCGUAGCGAGUGGAUCACUCUGAGGAGGUGGAUUCGGGGCCUGGGUGUGAUCUGUCUUGCUGUUGUUCUUGUCCCAGUCCAGAGGAACUGAGCAAAGGAACUGUACAGGACGUGAUGCUCCGACACACACUCACGGAGGAACUGCCUCAUGCGGUGAAACAAGUCUAGCUUGAUAUAAAUGUUUGCAUUUGUGUGAUCUACAUCUAUAUGUGAUCUUGAAGCACAUGUGUUUCGGAGGUUACCAGAAGUGACAUCGGCAAUAAUUGCAUCUGUUGUUCUCCAAGAAUCCCAUUUCAGAUGCUCUCCUGCAAACGACUCUGCCCCCUUGAGUGCAACACAGCAAUCCCUGAAAGAAAAAUAAAAGGAAAGCCAUCAAUGUGACAGCAGUCAUAUAGACCACCAUGUGUGCUCCAGUGUAUAUGGUCAUCAAAAUAAAAUUGAAUGCAAA
ensembl:lncRNA